UCAUUAUUGUGCCGUCGUGGUUCUCUGCGCCAGUUUCUGGCCAGAGCUAAGAGGGAAUCCGGUGCGCCCCAGGGCAAGGCCGGAGCUGCCCCCGCAACUGUAGGCGGCGAGCCUCCAUCCGAUUGUGCCACUGAAGCCAUCCGGCUUCGGGAAGGCGGGAUGAAGGCCGUGACCCGCGAGCCAGGAGACCUGCCGUGACAGCAUGAAACGU
rnacentral:ncRNA from 2 species